UAAAGUUUAAAUAACAAAUGAGAGCGUACCUUUUGCAUAAUGGGUCAGCAAGUUAAUAUUAGAUGCGAGAAAAGCAAUUUUUCAUCGAACACGAUGCAAAAUAUAAGUCUUAUUCCUAGAUAAACCGAUUAUUAAAUAAUGAAUUAGUAUCUAAAAUUAGACCCGAAGCCUGGUGAUCUUACCAUGAUCAGGGUUAUAAAAGCCCGAACGGGUUAUCGUUGUAAAGAUAUCCGAAGAAUUGUGGUAAGUUAGUGAAAGACAAUACUGACCAGGAUAGCUGGUUUUCCGCGAAACCUAUAUAAGUAGGUAAUUCAAAUAACAUCAUAGCAGGUACAGAAUUGUGAUCUCAGACAAAUAGUAUUUAAAAAAUGCAUUUGUAUAUAUCGGGGGGUCGUGAAGACUUUAUCGGUGAGAAUUUGCUCUCGGAAGGGCAAUGAUGAAUAUUGAAUAAUCGGACAUAGUACGAUAAGGUUGUAUGUCCAAAGGGAAACAGCCCAGAACAAGAGUUUAAGGUUCCAAAAUUAUUGUUAAGUGAAAUUAAGGAAGUUUUUUUCAAAUACAACCAGGAAAUAGGCUUAGAAGCGGCCAUUUUUUAAAGACCUCGUAACAGAGCACUGGUUCAAUUAAUAAGUUAAAAGCACCGAAAAUUUAACGGAUCUAAACAAUAUACCGACACCUUGUCCAUAAGUAUUAAUAAAAUUAUAAUUGUAUUUAUGGGGUAGCGGAACGUUGGGCAAAUCAAAGAUGUAAUCUUUUUAAGAUUAUAUAAUUAUGGAUAACCUUAAUAUUUAUCGACCUGCGGCCGGAAACGGCCGAAGGAAGAAGGUAUUAAGUUACGUCCAUCGACCUUAGGUAGAACUUCUACCUUUGGCAGAUGAUAACCCAAGUGAGAAUGCUGACAUAAGUAACGAAAAAGGGAUUUAUUACCCCCUCGCCUUAAGCUUAUGGUAUUUAUAUAAAGUAACGGCCUCUAAGUUUAUAGACCUGCCCUAAAGGACUAAACGAUGAGAAAAGCUUUUAUGCAGAAUUAACCUAAUUGAGUAAAUUGGGUUCUGGAAAAAUCUGCAAAUUAUCGAAACCGUACCUAGAUACUACCCCUGUCCAAGUAAGCUAGUAGAGUAUACGAAGGCGUUUGAGCUAACAAUCAUUAAGGAACUCGGCAAAAUGACACCGUAACUUCGGGAUAAGGUGUGCCAUUCUUCCAUCGCCCGGCUCCCGGCCGAUGGUUAAGAAUAGGAGGCAUAGAAUGGUGUUGUACGACUGUUUAAUUAAAACAAAGCA
rnacentral:ncRNA from 1 species